rnacentral:rRNA from 1 species
GUAGUCAUAUGCUUGUCUCAAAGAUUAAGCCAUGCAUGUCUAAGUAUAAGCACUUUAUACUGUGAAACUGCGAAUGGCUCAUUAAAUCAGUUAUCGUUUAUUUGAUAGUACCUUACUACAUGGAUACCUGUGGUAAUUCUAGAGCUAAUACAUGCUAAAAACCCCGACGUCGGAAGGGGUGUAUUUAUUAGAUAAAAAACCAAUGCCCUUCGGGGCUCCUUGGUGAUUCAUAAUAACUUAACGAAUCGCAUGGCCUUGCGCCGGCGAUGGUUCAUUCAAAUUUCUGCCCUAUCAACUUUCGAUGGUAGGAUAGUGGCCUACCAUGGUGGCAACGGGUAACGGGGAAU